GUGGCUUACUGGUCCAAAGUGCCUGUCUAGUAAACAGGAGAUCCUGGGUUCAAAUCCCAGCCA
rnacentral:tRNA from 1 species